GGCCUUCCUCAGGUCAAAUCUUAUCUGACUCUUUCUCCCUCCUGUGCUUUAUCUUGGUCUACAUUUAGAGAAACCCGGGCCAUGAUGUUUGGAAGAACAGGUCCCUUCUUCACCGUAAAGAAUCUGGAAUUUGGAAAGGAGAAGAGCUUAUAAAUGGAGGAGUCAGGAUUUGAACCUGGAUCUGUCCAGCCUCUUGCCCUGACCCACACAGAGAGUCUGGGGCUUGGACGGUGUGGACAAGUGUACCCAUUUCCUUCUUCUGGCCAGGUAUGAUGGAGCUUUGGACCAUUCAUCAGUUGUCAGGGACAUUUGGACGAAACCCUCUAAAGGUGUACAAAAGGUUCUGGGAUUUGAUACGAGGCAACAGAAGAGGGACUCCCAGGCCAAGAACAUGCGGUGCUGGCUGUCACUGCUAUUUAAGCCCUGUGGGGACUUAGUGAGAACACAGAAGGUGCCACCUAUGAUGCAGAGAUUAAGACUAAUUGGACACUGGAUCUGCCAGCGCCUCAAUCUUGGCCUCUUCCAAGUUUCCAGAACUAAGUAUUUGACCCGAGGAUGGGUGAAGCCCUGCAUGGAUCCUGGGAUGGGUUUCUCGACUUGGGGUUUCUCUAGGAGCCUGGAGCUCUGGUGCUCUUGGGUGCUUCAUAGCCAGAUAAUGCAACUUUGGAAGCCAUACAACGGAGCUGCAAGAUGGAAGGAGGCUGGGCCUUCAAUCACUCUUUGGAGAAGAGCUACCCCACUCUUUAGGUGUGCCAUUGAGAAUUAGUAUCCCAUAUGGUUAGGAAGUCUAUGACUUUUGAUGUCGGAGAUGGAACUAUCUAGAAAGAGGAGCUAAACAAGACUUCCUCCACACUCCGCUCUUCAGGUUGUAUCUUAUUAUCAAGCUCAUUUCUGAUGUUCUCUGUGGCUGCCUCCCUUGGUUAAAAACAUGUAAGUAUGGACUAGAGUGAUGGGGCAGGCAGGAUGAGUAUUCACAGGGCUGUACCCCCCACCCCCGGUCUUUGCCACCCAAUGCAGACAUGACCACAAGCUAAAAAUUAGGAAAGGUGUUUUAGCCAGGUAGUCUGGGUGGCAUGUGAGAAUGUGAAGUAGAAAAGUCUCUGCAGAAAAUGGAAUAGCAAAUUCCUAGAUCACCAUGUUAGAAGAUGGGUCUAGGCUCAUGGUACAUCUACUGUGCCAUGACCUAACCCUGGGAUCCAGGAGCCUCUAAAACAUCAUGAAGGUCCCUGUGAAUUUCUGGGAAGCUCUUGCAGGUCCUUGUGCCUCAGAUCCUCCUGGGAAUAUCAGUUAUCCUGAUCUCCUUCCAAAGACCUCUUUUGUUUAUGUGCGCUGGGUGGUCUCCGUAUACCCCUCUUAAUGUAGAUGUGUAAACUGGAGGAAUCUUGGGUAUCAUCUGGCUCUGCACCCAUCAAUGUACAAAAGAGGAAGUAGAUAAAACUCAGGGACAAUGUCCAGCACAGGAUCUGUCACAGGUAGGUACUGCAUAAAUGAUAUUUGCCCCUUUUCCUUAAAUAACUUCCUCGCAGUCUCACAGUGCUCAGGCUAGAAAUACCCAAAGCUCCCAGGUUUGAGUAUCUGGUGUGUCAAAGAACAUGCUGGCAUUUUAAUGUACUCUGUUGCAUUUAAUUCUCACCAACAUCUCUAAAGCAGAUGUCAUUUUCCCACUUAACUGACGAGGAAAGGAAGGCUCAAGAAGUUAAUUAACCGGAUCUGGUAAUUAGAAGUCUCCUGACUCCCAAUUUGAAUUCUCCCCCCUCUACUACCCUGGCUUCAGGGUUGAGGACAACAGUUUUCUAUUAUUUUUCAGUGUAAAUUACUUAACCAACCGACAGAUACCUCGUGGCUGCCUCCCAUCAAGAUAAUAGCGCAGAGCACCUCUCUGUUUAAAUACUGUACUUUAUUCUCUUGAUGGUGCUUAUCCACGAGAGUCCUUUAUUUGUUUGCGAGUAUAAACUCCAAGAAGACAAGGUCUACAUCUUGUUAUCUGCCAUGGGUAUGGGGUUGAGAGAAGGACUUGGCGCAAAGCAGAAUUGCAAUGCAUCUUUACGGAGUGAAUGAAUGAAAGAAAUGCGUAAAUGAAAGAAAACCGACUGUUUCCAUUCCCACUUUCAGGGGUGCUUCCCUGGUCCUCCUCUGGAAUUUGGGUCUCUCACUGCAGCUGUGAAGGCCUCCAUGCAUGUCUGUGCUCACAGCUCUGUAUGGAGGGAAGAAACAUGGAAUGAUCACAUGAGUUGCCCCUCUGUCCUUCCUGCUGGCAGAGGCCUGGCUAGACAGUCUUUGGCAGCAGAAGGCUCUUCAGGUUGUCUGAACUAUCUGCCUGCCUGUGACACAUACAUGCUAUUUAGUUCCGGAUCAGGUGUUGGGAGGCCUCAGUUGGUUUCUCAGAGCUCAGCUCUGCCUGAGAAAGGAAUGGGAAGGGCUUCGAUGGAUGGCAGGGACCGCACAUCCCGCUUCACCUCCCUUGCCCACUUCCGCUCUGCCGGAGGCAGCCCAGCCAAGGACAGUGCACAGGGUCAAGUUUCUCCUUGCAGAUUGCUCUGCGGUGACUGGAGGGGAGUCUGAGGGUGAGGAGAAGGUCCUCCUCGAAGCAGUGACCUUCGCCUUUAGAGCUCCCACGGGGUGUUAGAUGAGAGGGUCAAGCAGUCACUUUUCAGCACGGGGAGACUCUCAGGACCUGGCUCUGAACCCUAGCUCUGGCUUCUCCUAACCAUGUGACCGUGACCGUGGGAAAAUCCCUUGUCCUCUCUCUACCAAUCUCCCCAUCUGUAAAAACGGUCUAAGAAUAGAACCCACCUCAGAGAUGCGGUAGGGAGAAAACUCAGGGGUAUUUCUAAAGUUGUUAGGGUGGUCCUGGCGCGUGGUUAGACCUGUGUUGUGAGUGCUAUAUAAAUAGGAACAAUCACUGUUAGACCUCCCAUGUAGAUGUUAUUAUGUAAUUUAUACAAUACUCUCCCACAUAUCAUGCCUUUUGAUGGUUUCCCUGUGACAGUGGGGAGUUUAAUAUUUUCCCUUUCCUUUUAUUCUGUUUUCUUUUCUUUUCUUUUUUUUUUUUUUUAGGUGAAAGACCUGAUGAGAGGUGAACUGCAUGGUUUUGAACACCUGGAUUUAGUAGGCCCCUAACAUAUUUAUUUAGUUCUUGUUAAAAUUUGGACUUGGAAUGUCCCCUAGAGGCUCAUGUGUUGAAGGCUUGGUCCCCACUGCAGCAAGAUACAGAGGUUGGGCUUUUGGAAAGUGAUUGGAUCCCGACGGCUCUGACCUUACCAACAGUCCAAUCCAUUGAUGGAUCCAUGGCUGAAUGGACCGUUGGGGGGUGGUGGAAACUGUAGGGGUGGGCCUAGUUGGAGAAAUAGGUCACUGAGGGCAUGCCCUAGAAGAGGACAUCUUGUCCUGGCCCCUUCCUUACUCUGUCUCUGCUUUCAAGCCACCACAAAUGAGCAGCUCUGCUCUGCUACAUGUUCCUUGACUUGAUGUUCUGACUCAUGACAGGUCCAGAGUGAUCAUCAUAGAAACCAUGCCAUCACAGAAACCAAGUGAUCAUGGACUGAAACCUCUGAAAAUGUGAACCAGAAUAAACCUUUCUUCUAUUAAAUUGUUUUCUCAGAUAUUUUAUUACAGUAAUGAAAAGCUAACUAAUACAUUCUCAUAACAAUUGUAGAAAGUAAAUAUCAUUAUUCCUAUCAUACAGAUUUGAAGAUAGUGGCUCCCCUGUCAGAGUCUCAUUGAAAGGCUAUGUGCACUUUGGGUGACCUGCCCAUCUUUGUGUCCCUGGCAGGAGCUGUCAACUUAGCACUUCAGCAAUGGCAAAUACAUCUGAAACAAAAACCCCAAGUAACUCAAUUCUUUGGAGAAUGGGAUAUACAAACAAAAGAAAAGAAACUCGUGUUAAGUGCAAUUAUGAUUUACAUGUCUCAAUAGAGCUUAAUAAAAAAAUUCAUGUCUGGUCCAUGAAGGGCCAUUCCUUGGCCGUGAGAUCAUAGGAAAAAAAAACCUGUGUGAGUGCUGGAAGAGAUAUGACUAGGACAAGAAGAGUUGAAAAAGAGAUGCUCAAAAGCUACCUGGUUCAACAAUGGAGACAGCCAGGUAUAGCUUAGGCAGACUGUUAUUGUAAUUUCUCUAUAACUAAACAGUUUGAAAUGGGUUUUGAGAGGAAACAAGGGCAGGAUCUUGACUCAGUGUGAUAGGGUCUGUGUAGAAAUGCCCUUCUACAUAUAUGUAAUAUUACAUACAAUACAUAAAUAUAUUCUAUAAUUGUGAUAUCCACGUAUUAAUUUACUAAAGCUACUAUAGUAAAAUGCCACAUGCUAGAUGGCUUACACAUCAAAAAAUUUAUUUUCUUAUAAUUCUGGAGACUGAAACUCCAAGAUCAGGGUCUGACAGAGCUGGUUUCCUCUGAGGCUUCUCUUCUUCUCUUGAAGGUAGCCAGCCUCUUGCUUCCUCUUCAUAUGAUUAUCCCUCUGUGCAUGGGCACCCAGAUGUCUCUUCCUUGUCUUAUAAGGACACCAGUCAUAUUGGAUUAAGGCAUACCCAUAUGACCUCAUUUAACCUUAAUUAUACCGUUGAAGGCCCUAUCUCCAAAGAUAGUCACCUCCUGAGGUACCAGGGAUCGGGGUUUCAACAUAUGAAUUUUAUGGGAACAUGAUUCAACCUGUACAACCUUAUUUUUUUUGAUCCAACUUAUUUGCUAUGACCUCCUUCUCCUAGAAAUAGAGUUAAUUUCAAGAUAAAAGAAACUAAUCUUUAAAUAAUUUUUGAGGCUAUCAUA